GUGGGGAAUAUUGGACAAUGGGCGAAAGCCUGAUCCAGCCAUGCCGCGUGUGUGAAGAAGGUCUUCGGAUUGUAAAGCACUUUAAGUUGGGAGGAAGGGCAGUAAGUUAAUACCUUGCUGUUUUGACGUUACCGACAGAAUAAGCACCGGCUAACUUCGUGCCAGCAGCCGCGGUAAUACGAAGGGUGCAAGCGUUAAUCGGAAUUACUGGGCGUAAAGCGCGCGUAGGUGGUUUUGUAAGUUGGAGGUGAAAUCCCCGGGCUCAACCUGGGAACUGCCUCCAAAACUGCAUGACUAGAGUACGGUAGAGGGUAGUGGAAUUUCCUGUGUAGCGGUGAAAUGCGUAGAUAUAGGGAGGAACACCAGUGGCGAAGGCGACUACCUGGACUGAUACUGACACUGAGGUGCGAAAGCGUGGGGAGCAAACAGGAUUAGAAACCCCGGUAGUCC
rnacentral:rRNA from 1 species